rnacentral:rRNA from 1 species
UUCGAUCUGGCUCCAGAUUGGGCGCUGGCGGGAUGCUUUACACAUGCAAGUCGAACGGCAGCACGGACGGUCUGGUGGCGAGUGGCGAACGGGUGAGUAAUGUAUCGGAACGUGCCUAGUAGCGGGGAUAACUACGCAAGCGUAGCUAAUACCACAUACGCCCUUCGAGGGAAAUGGAGGGACCUUCGGGCCUCCUUACUAUUGGAAACGGCCGAUAUCGGAUUAGCUGAGUUGGUGGGAGAGUAACAGCUCACCAAGGCGACGAUCCGUAGCUGGUUUGAGAGGACGACCAGCCACACUGGGACUGAGACACGGCCCAGACUCCUACAAGGAGGCGGCGGUGGGGGAAUUUUGGACAAUGGGGAAACUCUGAUCCAGCCAUCCCGCGUGUGCGAUGAAGGGCUUCGGGUUGUAAGCUUACUUUGGCAGAAAGAAACGGCACGGGAUAGUACCCGUGCAGCUGACCAAACCUGCGGAAUAAGCACCGGCUAACUACGUACCAGCAUGCCGAUACCGUACAUGAGUGCAAGCGUUAAUCGCGGAAUUACUGGGCAAUACUGCAAAGCGUGCCGGUUCGGAAAGAAAGAUGUGAAAUCCCAGAGCUUAACUUUGGAACUGCAUUUUUAACUACCGAGCUAGAGUGUGUCAGAGGUAAAUUCCGCGUCGCCAGCAGUGAAAUGCGUAGAUAUGCGGAGGAACGCCGAUGGCGAAGGCAGCCUCCUGGGAUAACACUGACGCUCAUGCGAAAGCGUGGGAGCAAACAGGAUUAGAUACCUGGUAGUCCACGCCUAAACGAUGUCAACUAGCUGUUGGGCCUUCGGGCCUUGGUAGCGCAGCUAACGCGUGAAGUUGACCGCCUGGGAGGUACAGUCGCAAGAUUAAAAACUCAAAGGAAUUGACGGGGACCCGCACAAGCGGUGGAUGAUGUGGAUUAAUUCGAUGCAACGCGGCUUACCUACCCCUUGACAUGUCUGGAAUCCCGAAGAGAUUUGGGAGUGCUCGCAGAGAACCGGAACACAGGUGCAUGGCUGUCGUCAGCUCGUGUCGUGGAUGUUGGGUUGAAGUCCGCAACGAGCGCAACCCCUUGUCAUUAGUUGCUACGAAGGCACUCUAAUGAGACUGCCGAUGAAGCAAACCGGAGGGGAAGGUGGGGAUGACGUCAAGUCCUCAUGGCCCUUAUGGGUAGGGCUUCACACGUCAUACAAUGGUCGGGACAGAGGGUCGCCAACCCGCGAGGGGGAGCCAAUCCCAGAAACCCGAUCGUAGUCGGAUCGCAGUCUGCAACUCGACUGCGUGAAGUCCAGAUCGCCGUCAAUCGCGGAUCAGCAUGUCGCGGUAGAAUACGUUCCCGGGUCUUGUACACACCGCCCGUCACACCAUGGGAGUGGGACUUUACCAGAAGUAGUUAGCCUAACCGUAAGGAGGGCGAUUACCACGGUAGGAUUCAUGACUGGGGUGAAGUCGUAACAAGGUAG